rnacentral:ncRNA from 1 species
CAAAGGUUUGGUCCUGACUUUACUAUCAACUGUAGCUAAACUUACACAUGCAAGUAUCCGCGCCCCCGUGAAAAUGCCCUACAGUUCUCCGCCCGAGAACAAGGAGCUGGUAUCAGGCACAAACUUUAAGCCCACGACGCCUUGCUCAGCCACACCCCCAAGGGAACUCAGCAGUGAUAAACAUUAAGCCAUAAGUGAAAACUUGACUUAGUUAAAGCUAAAAGAGUCGGUAAAACUCGUGCCAGCCACCGCGGUUAUACGAGAGACCCAAGUUGAUAGUCGACGGCGUAAAGAGUGGUUAAGAAACCCCAUAAAAUAAAGCCGAACACUUUCAAAGCUGUUAUACGCAUUCGAAAGCAAGAAGUCCAACUACGAAAGUGGCUUUACACCACCUGAACCCACGAAAGCUAAGAAACAAACUGGGAUUAGAUACCCCACUAUGCUUAGCCCUAAACAUUGAUAGCACCUUUACACCAGCUAUUCGCCUGGGAACUACGAGCAUAAGCUUAAAACCCAAAGGACUUGGCGGUGCUUAAGAUCCACCUAGAGGAGCCUGUUCUAGAACCGAUAACCCCCGUCAACCUCACCCUCCCUUGUUUUUUCCGCCUAUAUACCGCCGUCGUCAGCUUACCCUAUGAAGAUAAAAUAGUAAGCAAAAUUGGUACAACCUAAAACGUCAGGUCGAGGUGUAGCGCAUGAGAGGGGAAGAAAUGGGCUACAUUCACUACCAUAGUGAAUACGAAUGACGUACUGAAACGUAUGUCCGAAGGAGGAUUUAGCAGUAAGCAGGGAAUAGAGUGCCCAGCUGAAACCGGCCCUAAAGCGCGCACACACCGCCCGUCACCCUCCCCAAUCUCAUUACACUAAUAACUAAUACCCUACAAGACAUCAAGGGGAGGCAAGUCGUAACAUGGUAAGUGUACCGGAAGGUGCACUUGGACAAAC